rnacentral:rRNA from 1 species
GUAGGGAAUCUUCGGCAAUGGGGGCAACCCUGACCGAGCAACGCCGCGUGAGUGAAGAAGGUUUUCGGAUCGUAAAGCUCUGUUGUAAGAGAAGAACGUGUGUGAGAGUGGAAAGUUCACACAGUGACGGUAACUUACCAGAAAGGGACGGCUAACUACGUGCCAGCAGCCGCGGUAAUACGUAGGUCCCGAGCGUUGUCCGGAUUUAUUGGGCGUAAAGCGAGCGCAGGCGGUUUAAUAAGUCUGAAGUUAAAGGCAGUGGCUUAACCAUUGUUCGCUUUGGAAACUGUUAAACUUGAGUGCAGAAGGGGAGAGUGGAAUUCCAUGUGUAGCGGUGAAAUGCGUAGAUAUAUGGAGGAACACCGGUGGCGAAAGCGGCUCUCUGGUCUGUAACUGACGCUGAGGCUCGAAAGCGUGGGGAGCAAACAGGAUUAGAAACCCGAGUAGUCC